rnacentral:rRNA from 1 species
AGAGUUUGAUCCUGGCUCAGAAUGAACGCUGGCGGCGUGCCUAACACAUGCAAGUCGAAUGUGCCGCAAGGUGCAUGGCAGACGGGUGAGUAACGCGUGGGCAAUCUACCUUCUCGUGGGGAAUAACGCUCCGAAAGGAGUGGUAAUACCGCAUGAGACCCUUUGCUGGGAUGCGAGGGGUGAAACCUGGGGACCUUCGGGCCUGGGGCGAGAAGAGGAGCCUGCGUCUGAUUAGCUAGUUGGUGGGGUAACGGCCUACCAAGGCGACGAUCAGUAGCCGGCCUGAGAGGGUGAUCGGCCACACUGGAACUGAGACACGGUCCAGACUCCUACGGGAGGCAGCAGUGGGGAAUUUUGCGCAAUGGGCGAAAGCCUGACGCAGCAACGCCGCGUGGGUGAUGAAGGUCUUCGGAUCGUAAAACCCUGUCGUUGGGGACGAAGGUGGUUUGGUGAAUAGCCAGAUUGCUUGACGGUACCCGGAGAGGAAGCCCCGGCUAACUCUGUGCCAGCAGCCGCGGUAAUACAGAGGGGGCAAGCGUUAUUCGGAAUUAUUGGGCGUAAAGGGCGCGUAGGCGGUUUUUUAAGUCAGAUGUGUAAUCCCCGAGCUCAACUUGGGAACUGCAUCUGAGACUGGAAGGCUAGAGUGCUGGAGAGGGUGGUGGAAUUCCUCGUGUAGCGGUGAAAUGCGUAGAGAUGAGGAGGAACACCAGUGGCGAAGGCGGCCACCUGGACAGCAACUGACGCUGAGGCGCGAAAGUGUGGGUAGCAAACAGGAUUAGAUACCCUGGUAGUCCACACUG